rnacentral:rRNA from 1 species
GAAGAAAGCUGGCGGCGUGCCUAAUACAUGCAAGUUGAGCGAUGAAGAUUGGUGCUUGCACCAAUUUGAAGAGCAGCGAACGGGUGAGUAACGCGUGGGGAAUCUGCCUUUGAGCGGGGGACAACAUUUGGAAACGAAUGCUAAUACCGCAUAACAACUUUAAACAUAAGUUUUAAGUUUGAAAGAUGCAAUUGCAUCACUCAAAGAUGAUCCCGCGUUGUAUUAGCUAGUUGGUGAGGUAAAGGCUCACCGAGGCGAUGAUACAUAGCCGACCUGAGAGGGUGAUCGGCCACAUUGGGACUGAGACACGGCCCAAACUCCUACGGGAGGCAGCAGUAGGGAAUCUUCGGCAAUGGACGAAAGUCUGACCGAGCAACGCCGCGUGAGCGAAGAAGGUUUUCGGAUCGUAAAACUCUGUUGGUAGAGAAGAACGUUGGUGAGAGUGGAAAGCUCAUCAAGUGACGGUAACUACCCAGAAAGGGACGGCUAACUACGUG